rnacentral:rRNA from 1 species
GACGAACGCUGGCGGCGUGCUUAACACAUGCAAGUCGAGCGGUAAGGCCCUUUCGGGGGUACACGAGCGGCGAACGGGUGAGUAACACGUGGGUGACCUGCCCUCAGCUCUGGGAUAAGCCUGGGAAACCGGGUCUAAUACCGGAUAUGACUCCAUGACGCAUGUUGUGGGGUGGAAAGCCUUGUGCGGCUGAGGAUGGGCCCGCGGCCUAUCAGCUUGUUGGUGGGGUGANGGCCUACCAAGGCGACGACGGGUAGCCGGCCUGAGAGGGCGACCGGCCACACUGGGACUGAGACACGGCCCAGACUCCUACGGGAGGCAGCAGUGGGGAAUCUUGCGCAAUGCGCGAAAGCGUGACGCAGCAACGCCGCGUGGGGAAGACGGCCU